rnacentral:rRNA from 1 species
AGCAGUAGCCACGGUAAUACGAAGGGUGCAAGCGUUAAUCGGAAUUACUGGGCGUAAAGCGCGCGUAGGUGGUUCAUUAAGUUGGAUGUGAAAGCCCUGGGCUCAACCUGGGAACUGCAUCCAAAACUGGUGAGCUAGAGUACGGUAGAGGGUAGUGGAAUUUCCUGUGUAGCGGUGAAAUGCGUAGAUAUAGGAAGGAACACCAGUGGCGAAGGCGACUACCUGGACUGAUACUGACACUGAGGUGCGAAAGCGUGGGGAGCAAACAGGAUUAGAUACCCCCGUAGUCCCUGUCUCUUAUAA